UACGUAGGGGGCUAGCGUUAUCCGGAAUUACUGGGCGUAAAGGGUGCGUAGGUGGUUUCUUAAGUCAGAGGUGAAAGGCUACGGCUCAACCGUAGUAAGCCUUUGAAACUGGGAAACUUGAGUGCAGGAGAGGAGAGUGGAAUUCCUAGUGUAGCGGUGAAAUGCGUAGAUAUUAGGAGGAACACCAGUGGCGAAGGCGGCUUCCUGGUCUGUAACUGACACUGAGGCACGAAAGCGUGGGGAGCAAACAGGAUUAGAUACCCUGGUAGUCCCUGAGCGGG
rnacentral:rRNA from 1 species